GUCAAAUGUAGGGUUGACUACAUGGAGAAGAGGAGAACCAUUGUUCGUUCCAAAGUCCAUGCAAUCUGAAAAUUCACCAAAGUCCAGUAGCUCUGAUGGGGACCUCAGUUCAUUGAGUAGAACUUCCGGAUUGUGAGGAUACAAAGGGCAUAACUUGUGACUUCCAGCUAGCACGACAAAAGGAACAGCAUGCCUUUUAGCUGCAAGGGCCACCAUAUUCAAUCCGACUGGUGCCAUGACACCACCAUUUGCCAUGACAGCAUGAGCUCCAACUAUUACCAUAUUCACCCGGGAAAUCAUAGCAAAAACUGCAGAAUCAGUAAUAAGUGUGGUCUGUAAACCUCUUGUAACCAACUCCUUAGCAAGAAGAUGACCCUGAUAUCUUGGAGCACCCUCAGUAACAAACACCCGGAAGGACCUUUUCUUCUCCUUAGCAGCACAA
rnacentral:misc_RNA from 1 species